rnacentral:rRNA from 1 species
GAUGAACGCUAGCGGCAGGCCUAACACAUGCAAGUCGAGGGGUAGAACACUUCGGUGUUUGAGACCGGCGCACGGGUGCGUAACGCGUAUGCAAUCUGCCUUACACUAAGGGAUAGCCCAGAGAAAUUUGGAUUAAUACCUUAUAGUAUAUUGAUGUGGCAUCACAUUAUUAUUAAAGAUUUAUUGGUGUAAGAUGAGCAUGCGUCCCAUUAGCUAGUUGGUAUGGUAACGGCAUACCAAGGCAAUGAUGGGUAGGGGUCCUGAGAGGGAGAUCCCCCACACUGGUACUGAGACACGGACCAGACCCCUACGGGAGGCAGCAGUGAGGAAUAUUGGUCAAUGGGCGCAAGCCUGAACCAGCCAUGCCGCGUGCAGGAUGAAGCAUCUAUGGUGUGUAAACUGCUUUUGUACGGGAAGAAACACUCCUUCGUGAAGGAGCUUGACGGUACCGUAAGAAUAAGGAUCGGCUAACUCCGUG